GGUUGUCGUCAGCUCGUGUCGUGAGAUGUUGGGUUAAGUCCCGCAACGAGCGCAACCCCCUACGUUUAGUUGCUAACGCGUGAAGGCGAGCGACUCUAGACGAACUGCCGUUGACAAAACGGAGGAAGGUGGGAUGACGUCAAAUCAUCAUGCCCCUUAUGUUCUGGGCUACACACGUGCUACAAUGGCCGGUACAGACGGACGCAAAGCCGCGAGGUGGAGCAAAUCCUAAAAAGCCGGUCUCAGUUCGGAUUGCAGGCUGCAAUUCGCCUGCAUGAAGUCGGAAUCGCUAGUAAUCGCAGGUCAGCAUACUGCGGUGAAUACGUUCCCGGGCCUU
rnacentral:rRNA from 1 species